rnacentral:lncRNA from 1 species
CCCCUCACAGAUGCACAGCAGGUGAGGCGAACCCCGCGGCGUGCCGGGAGGGGUCCGGAGCUGGGCCUGCAGGCUGCGGCAGGGACCUCCCCGCUGGCCACGGCGGCGGCCGGGCUGCUGGCAGCUCUAGCACCUUAUAGGGGCUCCGUGUGGGGCGGGCGGCGACAGCUCGCCGGCCGGCACGACACAGCACAGCCCUGCCCUGCCCUGCCCUGCCCUGCCCGCCGCCGCCGAACCCAAGGCCCCGCUGCGCUCCGAGCAGAGGGAAGGGCCGGCAGGGGUCGCUGCGGGGCCGGGCGCGUUCCCUCCCGGCACCGGCAGUGGUUUGAAAGCGCUCUGGCGGCGGCAGCGGAGAGGGAACGGGCGGCGGCAGCCGCCGUCGCUACCGCCCGGCCUCCUUUGUCCCCUCCCUCCCAGCGCCGAGCCGAAACCGGCGCGGAGCUGGCCUCCCGAGGAUCCGCUCCCCUCGCCACAGCAGCGCUGUCGAGGUCGCCAUCUUCACCUCCAUCCACCCCGCCCCGGAGCCUCCCGGCCGGGCUCGCAGCGCCGCGCCCCACCGCGCAGGGAGGGCGCUCGGCCGGGAGCGCGAGAGGGGGCCUGCACCCGCUGCAUGUGACGCCCCGCCGAUUGCACCCGCAUCCUCCUCGCGGUCGCCCCGCAACGCGGGGAGAGGCGCGGGGCGCCCGGCGGAGGGGUACGGAGGUUCCGAGGCGCAGCGGGAAGACAAAGGCGCGGGCGCCACCGUGGGCAGCGGUGAGUGACGUCGCGGGGGUCCGCAGAGCCCGAGCCGCCGGUGGCACGGGAAGCGGCAAGCGGGGAAGGGAAAGGCCGGGCCGGGCAGAGCGCGGGUACCGAUACCUGGCGGUGGGGCGGGACCGCUCCCUGCCCGCGCGCUGGCGCUGCAUCGGGGCCGGAAGCGACGCUCGGCCGGCGGGCCGCGGGCAGGGCGAAGCGCGCUGCUCUCUGUCGUGCUAUCGGGCAGGUGCCGCGGUGGGCGGCUGUGCGGGAUGCGGGCCUCGGGCCCGGCCUGCGGGGGGCGGGGGCGGCAGGCGGCAGCGGGCGUGGAGUGACCCGAGGGUGGUGCUGUGGAUGGACGCCCCGAGGGCCGCGGGCUGGCCGCAGAUGCAGCCUGGUAGUGCGUCCCCGGAGGAGCGGCCGCGUGGUAGCGGAGGUGCGCCUGCCUGCUGA